rnacentral:rRNA from 1 species
GCAGUCGAGCGAGGCGGCCCGCAAGGGUCAGUCGAGCGGCGAACGGGUGAGUAACGCGUGGAUAACCUGCCCAGAGGUGGGGGAUAACCCGGGGAAACUCGGGCUAAUACCGCAUGAUACCGAGAGGUCAAAGGGGGCUCGCAAGGGCUCUCACCAUUGGAGGGGUCCGCGUCCGAUUAGCUAGUUGGUGGGGUAACGGCCCACCAAGGCGACGAUCGGUAGCCGGCCUGAGAGGGUGAUCGGCCACACUGGAACUGAGACACGGUCCAGACUCCUACGGGAGGCAGCAGUGGGGAAUUUUGCGCAAUGGGCUAACGCCUGACGCAGCAACGCCGCGUGGAGGAUGAAGGUCUUUGGAUUGUAAACUCCUGUCAGCAGGGAAAAAGCGAAUCGGCCUAACACGCCGGUGAGUUGAUUGUACCUGCAGAGGAAGCCCCGGCUAACUCUGUGCCAGCAGCCGCGGUAAUACAGAGGGGGCAAGCGUUAUUCGGAAUUAUUGGGCGUAAAGGGCGCGUAGGCGGCUUCGCAAGUGGAUGGUGAAAUCCCUCGGCUUAACCGAGGAACUGCCGUCCAAACUGCGUUGCUUGAGGCCGGGAGAGGCGAGUGGAAUUCCCAGUGUAGCGGUGAAAUGCGUAGAUAUUGGGAGGAACACCAGUGGCGAAGGCGGCUCGCUGGACCGGUUCUGACGCUGAUGCGCGAAAGCGUGGGGAGCAAACGGGAUUAGAUACCCCGGUAGUCCACGCUGUAAACGAUGAGUGCUUGGUGUAGCGGGUAUCGACCCCUGCUGUGCCGAAGUCAACACAUUAAGCACUCCGCCUGGGGAGUACGGUCGCAAGGUGAAACUCAAAGGAAUUGACGGGGGCCCGCAC